GGCGUCGACGGUGCGGUUGCUGCCUUCGUAAAGCAGCCGCUCUGCUCUCGCUGUGCCCUCGGCCGGCGGCAGAUAAAGAAAUGUCAGGAAGUAACUCGACUCGUAAUGGGCGCCGGCUUCUUCGAACNNNNNNNNNCGUCGACCAGGGCGGAAGCUACAUCCGGAAAGGUGUUGGGCGGAUAAGCUCCCGCGGAAUGGCGCUGGGCUUCGACAAAGACUGCCCACCCGGAUUCAAGC
rnacentral:misc_RNA from 1 species